GUUGUAAAGAUACAGGUAUGUUAAAUGAAAUUCAACUUUAUGAAAAAAUGAAUAUCAUUUCAUGCAACUUAUAGUUUCUGUCGAUCUGAACCAUCUUUUUUUUUAUGAACUUUCUUGGUUACACAAUUGUAAGGGGUCAAAUUUACCUUUCAAUUGAAGACAGUUGAGAAUGAGUUGAAUGAGUUAACAUUAACAUAUUCAUUACAAUUUGUGUUUGUUUCAUCUUAUUUUAUUUUACAGGACAACCUUUACUGCAUUAUGAAAGCCUACAUUUAUGUUUGUUUAAUCUUAUUUUAUUUACAGGACAACCUUUACUGCAUUAUGAAAGCCUACAUUUAUGUUUGUUUAAUCUUAUUUUAUUUACAGACAACCUUUACUGCAUUAUGAAAGCCUACAUUUAUGUUUGGUCUUAUUUUAUUUUGCAUUAGAAAGCCUACAUUUCUUGUUUAUCUUAUUUAUUUUACAGGACAACCUUUACUGCAUUAUGAAAGCCUACAUUUAUGUUUGUUUCAUCUUAUUUUUUUUACAGGACAAACCUUUACUGCAUUAUUGAAAGCCUACAUUUAUGUUUGUUUCAUCUUAUUUUAUUUUUACAGGACAACCUUUACUGCAUUAUGAAAGAAUUAUGUUUGUUUCAUUUAUUUUAUUUACAGGACAACCUUUAUGCAUUAUGAAGUACAUUUAUUUUUUCAUCUUAUUUUAUUUUACAGGACAACCUUUACUGCAUUAUGAAAGCCUACAUUUAUGUUUGUUUCAUCCUACAUUUUUACAUGUUUGUUUAAUCUUAUUUUAUUUUACAGGACAAUCUUUACUGCAUUAUGAAAGCCUACAUUUAUGUUUGUUUCAUCUUAUUUUAUUCUACAGGACAACCUUUACUGCAUUAUGAAAGCCUACAUUGAUGUUUGUUUAAUCUUAUUUUAUUUUACAGGACAACCUUACGCAUUUGAAAGCCUACAUUUAUGUUUGUUUAAUCUUAUUUUAUUUUAAAGACAACCUUUACGCAUUAUGAACUGUGUUUGUUUCAUCUUAUUUUAUUUACAGGACAACCUUUACUGCAUUAUGAAAGCCUACAUUUAUGUUUGUUUAAUCUUAUUUUAUUUUACAGGACAACCUUUACUGCAUUAUGAAAGCCUACAUUUAUGUUUGUUUAAUCUUAUUUUAUUUUAAAGGACAAUUAUGAAAGCCUACAUUUAUGUUUGUAAUCUUAUUUAUUUUCAUUAUUAUUUUGUUUUCAUUUAUUUUAUUUUACAGGACAACCUUUACUGCAUUAUGGAAAGCCUACAUUUAUGUUUGUUUAAUCUCUUAUUUAUUUUACAGGACAACCUUUACUGCAUUAUGAAAGCCUACAUUUAUGUUUGUUUAAUCUUAUUUUAUUUUACAGGACAACCUUUACUGCAUUAUGAAAGCUACAUUUAUGUUUGUUUAAUCUUAUUUUAUUUUACAGGACAACCUUUACUGCAUUAUGAAAGCCUACAUUUAUGUUUUUUUAAUCUUAUUUUAUUUUACAGGACAACCUUUACUGCAUUAUGAAAGCCUACAUUUAUGUUGUUUCAUCUUAUUUUAUUUUACAGGACAACCUUACUGCAUUAUGAAAGCCUACAUUUAUGUUUGUUUAAUCUUAUUUAUUUUACGGACAACCUUUACUGCAUAUGAAAGCCUACAUUUAUGUUUGUUUAAUCUUAUUUUAUUUUACAGGACAACUUUACUGCAUUAUGAAAGCCUUACAUUUAUGUUUGUUUAUCUUAUUUAUUUAUUUACAGGACAACCCUUACUGCAUUAUGAAAGCCUACAUUUAUGUUGUGUUCAUCUUAUUUUAUUUUACAGGACAACCUUUACUGCAUUAUGAAAGCCUACAUUUAUGUUUGUUUCAUCUUAUUUUAUUUUACAGGACAACCUUUACUGCAUUAUGAAAGCCUACAUUUAUGUUUGUUUAAUCUUAUUUUAUUUUACAGGACAACCUUUACUGCAUUACGAAAGCCUACAUUUAUGUUUGUUUAAUCUUAUUUUAUUUUACAGGACAACCUUUACUGCAUUAUGAAAGCUGUGUUUGUUUCAUCUUAUUCUGUAUGACAGGUAAGUUAAUUUAGCCGUACUGACAACCGUGAAUGAUUGUAAAUAUCUGAAUUAUUCGAUAUACUUAUUUUAUCUUACGUAUAGAUUACCUCAGCCGUAUUUGGAUCAACGUUUAGGAACUUUGGGCUCUUAAUGCUCUUCCACUUUACACUUGUUUCGCUUUCAAACUAUUUUGAUCUGAGCGUCAAUGAUGUAGACGAAACGCUCGUCUGGCAUAUUUGAUUACCAUUUGAAAUAGAAUGAUUCAGACAUUCAUUCUUCUAAUUCACUACAUAUUACGUCAUUUUGAAAACGUAGCCAUCUUUCAUAUCUUAAAUGUUGUUUCCUUCGAAAGCAAGACCUAAUCUAACCACCGGCGUCUUCAAUGAGCCUCAGGGUAUAUAGAUGAUGUCCUCAGAGACAACAAUACAAAACGGACUGUAUAUACCCGUCCUUAUUGUUAGUGCUCUAGUUUAUGUAUCAUAAGCUUUUAAAAUAUACACAAGACAAACUCAAGAUCAAUGUUUGUAACUCCUACAAUGCGAUAUUUGAAACACCAAAUGUGGUAUGAAAUAAGUAGGAAUUGUGUUGUUAAUCAUUUAGAUGUAUGAACAUCAUUGUAUUAUUUCUAGAAGUACAUUUUUGUCUGACUUAGAAUAUAUUUUCGAAUGUUGAUUAAUCUGAUCACUUGAUAGUGUUUAUCUAAAAUGCGACAAAACGUAUAGCUUUACCCAACAGUACGCUUUCGAAUUGAUAUGCUUGACAUGGACACGUUUGCGUUAUUCAUAUAUUACAGUAUUGCGAUGUGUUGUAGUUCUCUAUGAGUCAAAUAUACAUUAGAAACAAAGAGACAUAGAAAUAGUAAACAUUUCCAUACUGUAAAUUACGAAACAUUUUAUACAGAUAAUUUAACUAGCAUUAAUCAUUAAAGCACCCAAUAAGCUCUUAGAACCGAACAUCAAUAUUAAAGGUUGUGGAAAUAAUAAGUCUUGAUCGUCAAUAACAUUCAACGGUACAAACUUGCAAUGCAGUAACUUAUGUGGGUUUCGAUAAACAAUAUUUUGUCAGAGACUCGAGAUCUAUAUUUGAAAUUUGAUUAUAUAAUAAACAUCAAAGAACUGAUACAAUUGAUUAGGAACACAAAUAUAGUCAAACAUUGAACAGGAUUCAUACCUGGAGGUUGUACAUUUUUUAAUGUCAAAGAUUUUAAUAAAUGAAAUAUCAUAUGAUAGUAGUUCUAUCUUAUUCUAGUAAUUCUAUGACAGUAAACAUUACAUAGCAACUUGUGAUUUCAAAGGAAAGAUUUACUAUGAUUUGAUUUUACUCAAUCUAUUGAUGUAAGUAUUUACAUUAAGUAACCAUAAAUAACAUUUCUGAAUUUAUAUUCGUUACCUGUUACUUACAAGAUUGUUUUAACAACUGACUGUAAAUUAUCUUCAAGGAUUAAAGUAUACUGACGCUGCAAAAAAGUGUUUUAGGAUGGUUGACUGUGGAUUCGCCGUUGAAGGUUGCAGACCAGACUGUGUUAAAAAAUUAUGUGUUGGUAAAGCCGAGUGCGUCGGAAAUAUGGAAUGCUGUUGUCAUGGUUGUGUACUUGGAUAAUCAGAAAUGAAAUACAGAACAAGAAGAAUGUUUACCAACGUAUUUACCCGAAAUAAAUAACGCAAUUUGAAAAUUGAUUUAUUCGUAUUAUUGUAAAUAGAUAGUAAAUAAAAAUAUUUGUAAUAAUACAUACCA
rnacentral:lncRNA from 1 species